AGCUCUCUUCCCCAUCGGCCCUUCACCUCUCUCCGCCGCCACCACCAGCCUCCCACCCGACUGCCCCCUCCUUCCCGAUUUCGGCCUCCCUCCUGCACCGUCGCCCCCUUCUCCCCCGUUGCAUCGUCGGCCCCUUCCUCCCUGAGCGCCGCCCCCUCCUCCUCGGCUCCUGCCUCCCUCCCUCUGUUUGCACGCCUCCGCUCCGCGUGGGCGCUCUGGUGGUGGUGGAGACAUCACCGGCUGGACGCCGCCGUGGCGCGAGGGCGCAGGGGCGCCGGACCUCCCUUCCACCUGCGACGGUGGCCAGGAGGAGCAGGAGGCCGGCGACGACGCCCGGGGCCUGGCAGGGCCGGCCGUGAUGUGAGGGAAGCGCUCAUGGUCGCGGCGUGCCGGGUCCUCGUCGGCCUCGGGCUACGCCGCCUCCAUCCUGAGCGCUGUCCGGCCGGUCGUCCCCCUCCCCCCUGAGCGCUGCUCUGGCUCCCGCCGGCCCUCGUCCUUUCCUCCGCCGCUGCUAUCUCCACCCCAACCUUCCCCUUCGGUGCCGAGCAAGAUCAAUACCAAGAUGCCUCCUGAUCGGAAGCAAGACCAAGGAACGCGCAAAUCCAGGGGCGUGUCAUAGAGGUUUAUGGCCCAGAUUGAAUGACAGUAACAAUAAGCACGUGUGAAGAUGCGCGCAAGAUUGAGCAACAAGAUGAGGCUGUAGGCUGCAGUGAGGCUAUUGGCUGCAGUUUUAUUUCUUGAGAUACGAAGCAGAGUAACCCAGAGGCGACACUUCAGGCAGACUAGGAUGCAGACCAACGUUCUUUGCUUGAUUGCUUGGCUGGUGUAACUUUUGAUUGUACAUAUGUAUGUAUGAAGGGAGGAUAAAUUGUAUUGCUUGACUGCUUGCCUUGUGCAACUUUGCAUGUACUAUGUAUGUGUAUGAAUAUGUGCAUGAACAGAGGAUGAACUGUGAACAUGUGACCUAUCUGUUCUCCCCAA